CCAGGACAGAGCAGGUUCACAGGUUCUAGAAUGAAUCUCCUCCUCUCGACCAGGACAAAGCAGGUUCACAGGUUCUAGAAUGAAUCUCCUCCUCUCGACCAGGACAAAGCAGGUUCACAGGUUCUAGAAUGAAUCUCCUCCUCUCGACCAGGACAAAGCAGGUUCACAGGUUCUAGAAUGAAUCUCCUCCUCUCGACCAGGACAGAGCAGGUUCACAGGUUCUAGAAUGAAUCUCCUCCUCUCGA